GAUCGGGUUUAGGCUUGGGUUUUCAAGUUUAGAUUUAGGUUUAGGUUAAGGAGUUGAGAUUGGGAUUUGGUGUAGGUUUAGGUUUAGGGAUUUGAGAAUAGGUUAAGGUUUAGGUUUAGGAAAUCGGGUUUGGGUUCGAGAUCAUGUUUAGGCUUGGGUUUUCACGUUUAGUUUUAGGUUUAGGUUAGGGAGUUGAGAUUGGGAUUUGGUGUAGGUUUAGGUUUAGGUUUAGGGAUUUGAGAAUAGGUUAAGGUUUAGGUUUAGGAAAUCGGGUUCGGGUUCAGGUUCGGGAUCAGGAUCGGGUUUAGGCUUGGGUUUUCAAGUUUAGGUUUAGGUUUAGGUUAGGGAGUUGAGAUUAGGAUUUGGUGUAGGUUUAGGUUUAGGGAUUUGAGGAUUGGUUAAGGUUUAGGUUUAGGAAAUCGGGUUCGGGAUCGGGUUUAGGCUUGGGUUUUCAAGUUUAGGUUUAGGAUUAGGUUAGGGAGUUGAGAUUGGGAUUUGGUGUAGGUUUAGGUUUAGGGAUUUGAGAAUAUGUUAAGGCUUAGGUUUAGGAAAUCGGGUUUGGGUUCGGGAUCGGGUUUAGGCUUGGGUUUUCAAGUUUCGGUUUAGGUUUAUGUUAGGGAGUUGAAAUUGGGAUUAGGUGUA